AUCAUUUGUUUUGGUGAGAUAAGACCAAAAUUGUGCUUUUUGGUCAUGAAAACUAUCAGCAUGAGACUGUAGACAAGCAAAUGCAUUCAUACUCACUGUAUAAUCUGCUGGUGGAUCGCUGAAUGACUUGGAGCUGUUUUGUGGUUGGUGGUUCAUGGAUUUUUGUAAACACUGACAGUAUCAUGAGCUCUGCUAAGUACCAGGAUAUUUAAGCCCAAAAUCUGGUUGCCUCUGCCAGGAAGUUAGGAUGACUUUUUCAACAAGAUAAAGGCCCAAAACAUCAGAAUCAACACUGAAAUGAUUUAAAACAACAACAACAACAACAACAACAACAAUACAAAAUCAUCUCAUUCUCUGUAUAUGAACUCUACUGAAACUGUGGUCUGAAAUGAAGAGGGCAGUUCACAUGAACAAACCAAAGGAUAUACAAAAGUGUACACACCCUAUGUACACAUAUGAAGUAUCACCAUAUAUUUCAACAAUAUACAUACAUACAUAUAUAUAUUAGUUUAAUGAAGGGUACCAAUCAUUCUGGACAUGUACUGUAGGUUUGAGUCAGUGCCUAUAAUUUUAUACAUACAUACAUACAAACAUGUGGCAUUGCUCCCAUAUGGCGCAAUAGAAAAGCAUUUGCAUGUGAAGAUAAUAAAGUUGGCCAUACUUUCUGGGUGGGAGGGAUGGCAUAACUGUCUCUCACUCCCAUUUCACUGUCAAUCACAGCAAAACUAACUAAUUGUUGGUAUUUGUGAGUUCAUGUAUGCAGAGGAUUGGAUUCCAUGCAGAGGUUGGAUUCCUUGUGCAUUUCACCGGGUGUUACGCUUCCUGUGACGCAGCAUGGGCAGCAGAUCAAAAAUUUAAUACUGACUGGCUUCUCAGAGGAAGCACAUGUUAGCCUUCACCCUCCCUGCUGGAGAGAUGGCAGCAGUGAUCGUGACCACUUCUGCUCUCUGGACCUGCCUGAUCCAUCCUGAUGUCUUACUUCUGGUUGCGUUCUCAUCGUUUGGAAAUCACCCACUGUUGCUGAGGAUGGCCCUGCAUGGACUAAAGAUCAGUGAGAUUACUCAGUAUGGUAGCACUUAAAAAUCUUUUUUGUCUUUGAACUGCAACUGAUAUGAACAGUUUUGCUACAAUAGCCAUGAACAGUUCUGCAUGCUCCUGCACUUCUACUUUCUGACCAGGUAGUAAAUGGUCUGCACUUAUAUAGCACUUUUAUCCAAAGCACUUUACAUUGUGUCUCAUUCACACACACAGUAGCAGAGCUGCCAUGCAAGGCACUAACUUGCCAUCAAGAGCAACUUGGGGUCCAAGGACACUUCAGUAUCUGGAGUCAUGUGGGCGGGGAAUCAAACCGCCAACCCUACGAUUAGUGGACAACCCACUCUACCACCUGAGCCACAGCCACCCACAGUACAUAGGGUCGCGGGGGAACCUGGAGCCUAUCCCAGGAAGCAUCGGGCACAAGGCGGGGUACACCCUGGACAGGGCGCCAGUCCAUUGCAGGGCACAAUCACCACAUCAAUAUAAUGGGCUAUUCUGUGUAGGUUCAUAUACUAUAUUAAACACAUAAUUAAAUCCAUUUCAGUUACAGGUUAUAACAAGACAAAAUGUGGAAUAGUUCAAAGGGAGUGAAUUCUUAUGCAAUUCUUAGACAAUGGACUAUUUAAACAUGUUCUCUGGUAUCUCUGAUGUUCUCUUGUUGUUUCUGGUAGUAAGGUUCUUAUGUAAUAACAGUCACAGACUAAUUAUGGGAAUUAUGAAUAUUGGUAUUAUGAGUUUUGAGUUUAUAUCAUUGUUUUUUCUUUGCAAAAUACC